UACGUAGGGCGCAAGCGUUUAUCCGGAAUUAUUGGGCGUAAAGAGCUCGUAGGCGGUUUGUCGCGUCUGCCGUGAAAGUCCGGGGGCUCAACUCCGGAUCUGCGGUGGGUACGGGCAGACUAGAGUGAUGUAGGGGGAGACUGGAAUUCCUGGUGUAGCGGUGAAAUGCGCAGAUAUCAGGAGGAACACCGAUGGCGAAGGCAGGUCUCUGGGCAUUACCUGACGCUGAGGAGCGAAAAGUGUGGGGGGAGCGAACCGG
rnacentral:rRNA from 1 species